CAAAUCCCAUUACUCAAUCCACAUAGCCCUGAGGUCAUCCUGCAAAGUGCUUAUCAAAAAAUACGAAGUUAGGGUGACAAAGUUUGACAGUGAUGUUAUACAAGUCAAACUUGGAAGGUUAUAGUAAGCAUACCUAGGCUGAGAGGAAAGCAUCAAAUCCUUUGUGUACACAUUUAAUAUUGUAACAAAACAAUUUGUACACUUUUAACGUUUAAAACUGAGCAUCAUCUAUCCUUUCCAGUGAAAUAAAAAGAAAAUUUAAAAAUGAACAGGAACAAAAUUACAAUAGAGAAUGUCAAUUCCAAAUAAGAUCCUACAGGUUCUUCUGAUUCUCCCAUUGAGUGGCAGGGCUCAAGUUAUCAUUAGGAGAGAAUUUAUUUUAAAAGUAUCAUCUUAAACUGCAAGGAUGUCUGUCAAGUAUCACAAUUAAACAUG
rnacentral:lncRNA from 1 species